ACAAUGAAGAGUUUGAUCCUGGCUCAGGAUGAACGCUAGCUACAGGCUUAACACAUGCAAGUCGAGGGGCAUCAGGAAGAAAGCUUGCUUUCUUUGCUGGCGACCGGCGCACGGGUGAGUAACACGUAUCCAACCUGCCCUUUACUCGGGGAUAGCCUUUCGAAAGAAAGAUUAAUACCCGAUGGGAUAAUCAUUCCGCAUGGUCUGAUUAUUAAAGGAUUCCGGUAAAGGAUGGGGAUGCGUUCCAUUAGGUUGUUGGUGAGGUAACGGCCCACCAAGCCUUCGAUGGAUAGGGGUUCUGAGAGGAAGGUCCCCCACAUUGGAACUGAGACACGGUCCAAACUCCUACGGGAGGCAGCAGUGAGGAAUAUUGGUCAAUGGGC
rnacentral:rRNA from 1 species